AGGAAUUUUCGGCAAUGGAGGAAACUCUGACCGAGCAACGCCGCGUGAACGAUGAAGUAUUUAGGUACGUAAAGUUCUUUUAUUAAAGAAGAAAAAAUGAUGGAAAAAUCAUUCUGACGGUAUUUAAUGAAUAAGCCCCGGCUAACUAUGUGCCAGCAGCUGCGGUAAUACAUGGGGGGCAAGCGUUAUCCGGAGUUAUUGGGCGUAAAGGGUGCGUAGGCGGUUAAAUAAGUCUAUGGUAUAAGUUCAACGCUUAACGUUGUGAUGCUAUAGAAACUGUUUGACUAGAGUUGGAUAGAGGCAAGUGGAAUUCCAUGUGUAGCGGUGAAAUGCGUAAAUAUAUGGAGGAACACCAGUAGCGAAGGCGGCUUGCUGGGUCUUAACUGACGCUGAGGCACGAAAGCGUGGGGAGCAAACAG
rnacentral:rRNA from 1 species